UACCUCUCAGGAUUGCACCUGGAGAGUUUCCAAUUGUCUACAGUCUCGACUAGGGGAGGGAGAGCCAAGCAGAGGCCUACCCAUUCCAGUCCUAGCUUGGCCAGUGGCUAGCGAGUGGAAAGUAAUCUGCUACAAAU